rnacentral:rRNA from 1 species
AGAGUUUGAUCCUGGCUCAGGACGAACGCUGGCGGCGCGCCUAACACAUGCAAGUCGAACGAGCGAGAGAGAGCUUGCUUUCUCGAGCGAGUGGCGAACGGGUGAGUAACGCGUGAGGAACCUGCCUCAAAGAGGGGGACAACAGUUGGAAACGACUGCUAAUACCGCACAAGCCCACGGCUCGGCAUCGAGCAGAGGGAAAAGGAGCAAUCCGCUUUGAGAUGGCCUCGCGUCCGAUUAGCUAGUUGGUGAGGUAACGGCCCACCAAGGCAACGAUCGGUAGCCGGACUGAGAGGUUGAACGGCCACAUUGGGACUGAGACACGGCCCAGACUCCUACGGGAGGCAGCAGUGGGGAAUAUUGCACAAUGGGGGAAACCCUGAUGCAGCGACGCCGCGUGGAGGAAGAAGGUCUUCGGAUUGUAAACUCCUGUUGUUGGGGAAGAUAAUGACGGUACCCAACAAGGAAGUGACGGCUAACUACGUGCCAGCAGCCGCGGUAAAACGUAGGUCACAAGCGUUGUCCGGAAUUACUGGGUGUAAAGGGAGCGCAGGCGGGAGAACAAGUUGGAAGUGAAAUCCAUGGGCUCAACCCAUGAACUGCUUUCAAAACUGUUUUUCUUGAGUAGUGCAGAGGUAGGCGGAAUUCCCGGUGUAGCGGUGGAAUGCGUAGAUAUCGGGAGGAACACCAGUGGCGAAGGCGGCCUACUGGGCACCAACUGACGCUGAGGCUCGAAAGUGUGGGUAGCAAACAGGAUUAGAUACCCUGGUAGUCCACACCGUAAACGAUGAUUACUAGGUGUUGGAGGAUUGACCCCUUCAGUGCCGCAGUUAACACAAUAAGUAAUCCACCUGGGGAGUACGACCGCAAGGUUGAAACUCAAAGGAAUUGACGGGGGCCCGCACAAGCAGUGGAGUAUGUGGUUUAAUUCGACGCAACGCGAAGAACCUUACCAAGUCUUGACAUCCCUUGACGAUGCUGGAAACAGCGUUUCUCUUCGGAGCAAGGAGACAGGUGGUGCAUGGUUGUCGUCAGCUCGUGUCGUGAGAUGUUGGGUUAAGUCCCGCAACGAGCGCAACCCUUAUGGUCAGUUACUACGCAAGAGGACUCUGGCCAGACUGCCGUUGACAAAACGGAGGAAGGUGGGGAUGACGUCAAAUCAUCAUGCCCUUUAUGACUUGGGCUACACACGUACUACAAUGGCGUUAAACAAAGAGAAGCAAGACCGCGAGGUGGAGCAAAACUCAGAAAGAACGUCCCAGUUCGGACUGCAGGCUGCAACUCGCCUGCACGAAGUCGGAAUUGCUAGUAAUCGUGGAUCAGCAUGCCACGGUGAAUACGUUCCCGGGCCUUGCACUCACCGCCCGUCA